GUAUUGGGUGGAAAGUGGCGAACGGGUGAGUAACACGUUGGUGACCUGCCCUGAGGAGGGGAAUAACCGUGGGAAACCACGGCUAAUACCCCGGAUGUCUAAGCUGUUAGAGGGCUUAGACUAAAGCCCCUGCAAGGGGUGCGCCUCGGGAGGGGCCUGCGGGCUAUCAGCUUGUUGGUGGGGUAAUGGCUUACCAAGGCGAAGACGGCUAGGGGGCGUGAGAGCGCGACCCCCCACAAUGGAACUGAGACACGGUCCAUACUCCUACGGGAGGCAGCAGUGAGGAAUAUUGCGCAAUGGGGGCAACCCUGACGCAGCAACGCCGCGUGGACGAUGAAGGCCUUCGGGUUGUAAAGUCCUUUUCUGAAGGAAGAUAGUGACGGUACUUCAGGAAUAAGUCCCGGCUAACUACGUGCCAGCAGCCGCGGUAAAACGUAGGGGGCGAGCGUUAUCCGGAUUUACUGGGCGUAAAGCGCACGUAGGCGGCAUCGUAAGUUGGACGUGAAAGCUCCCGGCUCAACUGGGAGAGGUCGUUCAAAACUGUGGUGCUUGAGGUUGAUAGAGGAGAGUGGAAUUCCCGGUGUAGUGGUGGAAUGCGUAGAUAUCGGGAGGAACACCGGUGGCGAAGGCGGCUCUCUAGGUCACACCUGACGCUGAGGUGCCGAAAGCGUGGGGAGCGAACGGGAUUAGAUACCCCGGUAGUCCACGCUGUAAACGA
rnacentral:rRNA from 1 species